rnacentral:lncRNA from 1 species
CCACUAGCUACAGAUGCUGGAGAAUUUGGGCUGGUUUCUUCUGCAUUUUAACAAUCCCUGGGGCUUUCUUUGGUUCUUUCUUUAUUUGAGUGAGGUUGAGAUCAUCUUUCUAUCAUGUCUCUGCAUUCAGUGAUAUCCAUAUUUAUCCAUGUUUGAAAAGACACAGACAUCAAUCUGGGUCUUACUCUGUCACGCAGGAUGGAGGCUGGAGUCCAAUGGCACAAUUGCAGCUCACUGCACCCUCAAACUCCUGGGCUCAAGGGGGCCUCCCAUCUUACCCUCCCGGAUAGCUGGGACUACAGGCGUGCACCAUCAUACCUGGCUAAUUUUUAGUAUUUUUUGUAGAGACGGGGUUUCUCCAUGUUGGCAAGGCUGGUCUUGAAAUCCUAGGUUCAAGCAAUUCUCCUGCCUCAGCCUCCCAAACUGUUGGGAUUACAGGUGUGAGCCACUGUGCCCAGCCUGCUGCUUUUUUAGAAAGAGGAGAGAAGGAUGGUCUAAAACUCCCAUUUUUUCUUGUCAUUCACCUGGCAACUCAGAGUCAGGAGGAAGAUGGGAGCUUUGAAGUGAGGUUCUGCUGCCCCACCCUGAGUUCCUCAGGGGUCACCUUCAUCUCACCCUUCCCAUUAGUUCCAAGUCCCCAGACUGAAGACAGCAGUUCCUGGAGUCAGUUCUCAAAAGAGUGAGUUCUCAAGGGAGAGGCCCAAAAAAAGGGAAUCAGAACCUGGAACACUUCUCCCCAUCCCUGUUCUGCCCCUCAUAGGAAUUAAACAAGAUGGAAAUGGGCAAUGCUUCUUACCCACUGGUGAUAAUAUGAGAUGCCACAGAAGAAAUGUUGGGGAUUUUUGGAGGCAAAAUUUGUUGGGUCUUCACUUUGUAAAAGUUGAUGGCAUCCCUAUUUUCAGACUGUUCUUGGAGACAGCACCAGGCUUGUCUACCUCAUACAGCUGUGAUGGUCACCUGGGGCUGAGAGAGAAGAGCUUGCUUUCAGCUGUUAAUGACAGCCAGCUUGGACUUCUUGAAGCUGAAGGGUCAGGCAGAGCUACGUAGUGGUAUUGCACACAUCAGCAUCUUCAGUUUCCUAAAAUCUAUCCUUACAAAAAAAGAGCGACUCAGCAGGGGCUCAACAUGUAAUAGAGUCCACUAAAGAACAUGUCUGAGGCUUGCAUUUUUCAGCCCUCUGUUUUUCCCCACCAUUCUACCUACCAGCCAUGGGCUAUAUAUAGUGCUUGGGGUUAUGCAGGUGCCAUAGGGUAAAAACCUUCCCACUCAGGUUCCAGGAAAAAAAAAAUGACAAGAAACUUUACAUGUCCCAAAUACGGAACUAGAGUUUGGGGGUCUAAGUUCAGAAGGGUAAGAAGUGAUCUCCAUGGCCCUAAAUAUUUUGGAAGGAAAUAGGCUUCUAGUUUCCCAAAAUCUCCUUUUAUUCCCAGUGUGGGUGAGGGAAGAGCACUGCUCUCAAUUCUUAGCUUAGCCUUUAGGAACAUGGACAGUCAGGUCAGCAGCCAGCUGCCCUUCCCCUCUCCAGAGCAGCAAGGAGUCCAGGACUCCAGCUCUGUUUCUGCAGACAGUGACAGGAGGCCAAAGGGCGGGCAGAGCAGGGGCAAGGUCUCAGCACACCCAGGGGUCGAUGGAGAACAAACAUAUCAUUAGGCUGAGAAAGGAGAGAAAGGAAAAAAAGAUCUCAAAGUGUGUUCAAGCAGUACUCAGCUCUUUGUUUAUCCACAAGAAGAACUGGAUUCCAAGUCAGGGACAUAAAAAUUAACCCAUGGCCUGGGUCACUUUGCCCCCACCUGCCACUCAUACCAAGGCAGCCCAGCUCUGAAAGCAUUGAAAGAUGACACGUUUUGCAGGAAACAGUGACUCUUUGGAUGUUAAAAAAAUCUAGCCGCUGCCCAGUGGACACAGUGUCAGGGAGCCUUAAGAAAGCUGGUGUUGGGGGUACUGCCAAGGAGGAUCAUCGAGUGGGCAUGACAAGCCCAAGAGUCAAGUGUCUUUACAGCAUCCAUGUCCCACAAGCCCAUAGCCUGGUGACCAUGGUCUUCAACCCACAAUUGGUGCUGUUGAUGCUGUCAAUGCAGAAUUGAAGACAGAGAACCAGAGAUUUUUAAGUCAGAAGCAUGCUUCAGAAGUUUUAGUUUGUAACUAUUGUUUAUUUCUGGAAAUCAUUUGGAAGAUAUUAUUUUACUUUUUGUCUCUCCCAAUUCCAAAUUGUUUGCAUUAUAAUUUUCUUUAAACCGGAAAAUAAAAUCAUAAUUUUAGAAAAGUGAAUCUUGUGUUUAAGAGGUGUCAAGUUUGUGCCCUUACCUUUCCUGUGCACCAGGAUAGUGAAUCCACAACAACCUCUCCUGCUGCACUUAUGGCCGAUAGCACCAAUCCUUCUCAGCCAACUUCCCUCCUGGAUCCUGUCAGGCAUUUUCUCAGCAAGCAUUCCAGAAAGCCAUGACUCACUUAUCAGCAUCAGUGCU